rnacentral:sRNA from 1 species
AUCGCUUCUCGGCCUUUUGGCUAAGAUCAAGUGUAAAUUAGUUUGUUCUGAUUUGCACAGCAUAAAAUAGCUAAUUUACUGUACAUUCU